AGGUUAAGUUACACUGUGAAUGACAGCAUCCAAUUCUGAAGUGCCCAGGUUCGAGUUCUGGCUCUGCUGUCCAUUUCAGCAUUCUAUUAAAGCACACUGUGGCAAGUAGCAGAGGCUACUUAAAACCUUUCAGCAAAGAUGUCAGGCACAUGGACCACAAUGGCUGCAAUGAUGGAAGCUGAGGUGGCUCAAGAGAGAAGUCAGUUAUGCACACAUAACUUCUGAGCCAAGUUCACACACCCAGGAAAGAUCAUUUACACCACCUUGUAUUUUCAAGAGACUUUCACCCAAGACUACAGACUUCCCUUCUCCUGGACCUUUUUGAACUCUGCUGUCUUUGAGCAUCAUGGAUUUUGCAAAAGAAACUAUUUACUGGGCAGUAAUUAUAUGCCACCCCUCAUGUAAAGAUACAGCAGUUUUCCCCCUGCUGCGCGGGAUGUCUGGAUUAGCUGAAAUGAACCCUAGCGCAGCGAUAGGCUGCCCAGAGACUCUGAUACUUUCCUAUUUUCACACUUCUAGAGACAGGUGGGGGGUGGUUGUUAAAUGUCUGUGUGUGCAAACUGGCAAGGAGAGGUCACGAGAGGAAGAGAAAGGCCUGCACUGAGCGGGGCAGCUGGCUUGCCUGCUUCCUUCGGCUGUUCAUUGAGUGUUAACGGAAAAGAAAGAACAGAAAACAAAUGCAAGAGCGCAUUUGCCCCAGAUGGGAGCUUCUAUCUGAGCCGAUAACCCUUUAAAUGUCAAAAUCAC